rfam:Nomascus leucogenys chromosome 14, whole genome shotgun sequence.
GCCAGGCACAGUGGCGGGUGCCUGUAAUCCCAGCUACUUGGGAGGCUGAGGCAGGAGAAUCACUUGAACCCAGGAGGUGGAGGUUGCAGUGAGCUGAGAUCCCGCCACUCCACUCCAGCCUGGGCGACAGAGCGAGACUCUGCCUCAA